GCCGGGCCUUGACCUAUGAAUUGACAGCCGGUGGCCACCGCAUCUCGCCUGUCAGUUUCACAGGUCAAGCCACGG
ncrna:Petromyzon marinus (sea lamprey) microRNA pma-mir-192 precursor